AUCUGAGUUUGGCUGACCAAAAAGAGAAGAGAGUAGGCUUUGGGCAUGAGCAAUUGUAGCCCUUCGGGCGUGGGUUAUUUCCUAGAAGAGUCUAGGGUUUUGUGGGUUAAGAAUUGUUCUCCAAUCUUCUUCUAUUUUCUCUUUUGUUUUAUCUCUUAGAUUGUCUAGGAGAAGAAGCCCAGAUCAAGCAUCAAGAGGGAUCUCUGCAAGGGAGCUAGCAUCCUAGGAAGAUCGCCAACCUCUGAUUUGAAAAGAUCUUAUAUCAAUACCUGU
rnacentral:lncRNA from 1 species